UCAUUUCAUUUUCCCUUGUCAGGUAAUUUUACAUCUAACACGAAGAGGGUGUCUGAACGAUAACAAACAGCUGGAGAAGAGAAAAAUGGCCAAGUCACUCCACAGUGGAGCAUCCUAAUGACAAAGCCGAUCUCCAAAACAGAUUGUAGACUUUGCUUGAGAAGAUGCUGCUGCACUCAACUGAAUGAUUUUCUUUCUUUGUUUCAUUUCAUUCAAAGGUAACCCAGACGGACUCCUCCAACCAUGGCCUCGAGGCAACUUCACUGAGCUAGGCUCAGGGUAGAGAAACAGGAUCUUUGGCACAUCAACUUCUUUCUUUUCCAGGUACAAAUGAUCCAUGGUGAAUCCUUGUCUAUGUUGCAAAUUAUUUCUCCCCAAAU
rnacentral:lncRNA from 1 species